CUUGCUUACGCAAGCAGGACUCUGAGGUGAAGCAUGACAAACGUAAGUACUGCACGUCAACAGGGUUCUCCCGCACUGCUGACAUUGCAGAGAGCAAAUGGUUACCAAGGAAAUACAAGCGCUCGUCUGAGCAUUCAUCUAGAUGCAUUUUAACAAGACAUUUUAGGAGUGGACGCCACGUUUAAACCAAUCAGCGGCGGGGCCUUCAGCCUUUAUGUCUGCCUUCUUGAAGGCAGACUGAAUACAGAAAUUCAUUGCAGCACUCAGCAGACCUGGUAAUUUCUGAGUCCUUCUGGAAGGAUCCAAGCUGAUUCUGUGAAUACGCACUGUCCUUUUAGUGGGACACUGCUUGUAUAUGGAGGCCAAACUAUCGGUGGAUCUGGUUCAUUUUUUAAUACAAAUCAAUAAGCUGAUUUAAUCAGGGGCAUAUGUUUAAAAUCACGUUCCUUUCUAGUGAAGAUAUAUAUUUUUAAAUGUCUCACACAAAAUGCAAAUAAUUGAUCAAACCUCCCUGACGUGUGCAUUCCUCACCUGUGGUCACAUGAUUAUAGGUUUCAAAAUAGAUCACCUUGUAAAUAUCUGACAUUAAUUUGAAAGGAUAAAAUGGAAAUAGAUUUUUAAAAAUUGUGCAUAAAUUCAUAAUAAAUAAAAUAGAUAGACAUGAAAGGAAAGUGUCACAGGUAAAAUUCAAAAUUACAAUUUUGCCCUCUG